UAGGGAAUCUUCGGCAAUGGGGGCAACCCUGACCGAGCAACGCCGCGUGAGUGAAGAAGGUUUUCGGAUCGUAAAGCUCUGUUGUAAGUCAAGAACGAGUGUGAGAGUGGAAAGUUCACACUGUGACGGUAGCUUACCAGAAAGGGACGGCUAACUACGUGCCAGCAGCCGCGGUAAUACGUAGGUCCCGAGCGUUGUCCGGAUUUAUUGGGCGUAAAGCGAGCGCAGGCGGUUAGAUAAGUCUGAAGUUAAAGGCUGUGGCUUAACCAUAGUACGCUUUGGAAACUGUUUAACUUGAGUGCAAGAGGGGAGAGUGGAAUUCCAUGUGUAGCGGUGAAAUGCGUAGAUAUAUGGAGGAACACCGGUGGCGAAAGCGGCUCUCUGGUCUGUAACUGACGCUGAGGCUCGAAAGCGUGGGGAGCGAACAGGAUUAGAUACCCUGGUAGUCCACGCCGUAAACGAUGAGUGCUAGGUGUUGGAUCCUUUCCGGGAUUCAGUGCCGCAGCUAACGCAUUAAGCACUCCGCCUGGGGAGUACGACCGCAAGGUUG
rnacentral:rRNA from 1 species